rnacentral:rRNA from 1 species
ACAUCGAUGUCUAGGGGUUCUGAGAGGAUUAUCCCCCACACUGGUACUGAGACACGGACCAGACUCCUACGGGAGGCAGCAGUAAGGAAUAUUGGUCAAUGGACGAAAGUCUGAACCAGCCAUGCCGCGUGCAGGAUGACGGCCCUAUGGGUUGUAAACUGCUUUUAUACGGGAAGAAUCCCCUGUACGUGUACAGGGUUGACGGUACCGUACGAAUAAGCAUCGGCUAACUCCGUGCCAGCAGCCGCGGUAAUACGGAGGAUGCAAGCGUUAUCCGGAUUCAUUGGGUUUAAAGGGUGCGUAGGCGGAAUGAUAAGUUAGUGGUGAAAGCCUCCGGCUCAACCGGGGAACUGCCAUUAAUACUGUCAUUCUUGAGUAUAGUUGAAGUGGGCGGAAUGUAUCAUGUAGCGGUAAAAUGCUUAGAUAUGAUACAGAACACCGAUAGCGUAGGCAGCUUGCUAAACUAUAACUGACGCUCAGGCACGAAAGCGUGGGGAGCAAACAGGAUUAGAUACCCUGGUAGUCCACGCCGUAAACGAUGAUCACUCGCUGUUGGCAAUACACCGUCAGCGGCUUAGGGAGACCAUUAAGUGAUCCACCUGGGGAGUACGGUCGCAAGAUUGAAACUCAAAGGAAUUGACGGGGGCCCGCACAAGCGGAGGAGCAUGUGGUUUAAUUCGAUGAUACGCGAGGAACCUUACCUGGGCUUAAAUGUUGGACGACAGUCCCCGAAAGGGGACCUUUCUUCGGAACGUCUAGCAAGGUGCUGCAUGGUUGUCGUCAGCUCGUGCCGUGAGGUGUCGGGUUAAGUCCCAUAACGAGCGCAACCCCUAUUCUUAGUUGCCAUCAGAUAAUGCUGGGGACUCUAAGAAAACUGCCUACGUAAGUAGUGAGGAAGGUGGGGAUGACGUCAAAUCAGCACGGCCCUUAUGUCCAGGGCUACACACGUGCUACAAUGGCCGGUACAGAGGGCAGCUACCUGGUGACAGGAUGCUAAUCUCGAAAACCGGUCUCAGUUCGGAUCGAAGUCUGCAACUCGACUUCGUGAAGUCGGAUUCGCUAGUAAUCGCACAUCAGCCAUGGCGCGGUGAAUACGUUCCCGGGCCUUGUACACACCGCCCGUCAAGCCAUGGAAGCUGGGGGUACCUAAAGUCCGUAACCGCAAGGAGCGGCCUAGGGUAAAACUAGUGACUGGGGCUAAGUCGAAACAAGGUA